rnacentral:rRNA from 1 species
GGGAUUCGCAUGGGCGAGCCUGACGGAGCACGCCGCGUGAGUGAUGAAGGUCUUCGGAUCGUAAAACUCUGUUAUUAGGGAAGAACAAAUGUGUAAGUAACUGUGCACGUCUUGACGGUACCUAAUCAAAAAGCCACGGCUAACUACGUGCCAGCAGCCGCGGUAAUACGUAGGUGGCAAGCGUUAUCCGGAAUUAUUGGGCGUAAAGCGCGCGUAGGCGGUUUCUUAAGUCUGAUGUGAAAGCCCACGGCUCAACCGUGGAGGGUCAUUGGAAACUGGGAAACUUGAGUGCAGAAGAGGAAAGUGGAAUUCCAUGUGUAGCGGUGAAAUGCGCAGAGAUAUGGAGGAACACCAGUGGCGAAGGCGACUUUCUGGUCUGUAACUGACGCUGAUGUGCGAAAGCGUGGGGAUCAAACAGGAUUAGAUACCCUGGUAGUCCACGCCGUAAACGAUGAGUGCUAAGUGUUAGGGGGUUUCCGCCCCUUAGUGCUGCAGCUAACGCAUUAAGCACUCCGCCUGGGGAGUACGACCGCAAGGUUGAAACUCAAAGAAAUUUUGACGGAAAAG